AUAACCUAAUUCCUACAUAUAUAUAGUGAAAGACUACACUAUAAAUCUCUUUCAAAAUACAAACUAUGAAUCCGUGAAUUUAAUGUAAAAAAUGUAUGAAAUCAAAAAUUGAAAUUUCUGCUCCCUAUGACGUUCGAACCCAGGACCAUGAAAUUAUUAUACUUUAUGAUUCAAGAGUUUUAAAAUAAUUCUUAAUUUAUAUUUUAAAA
rnacentral:lncRNA from 1 species